rnacentral:rRNA from 1 species
AGUGGAGCCUGCGGCUUAAUUUGACUCAACACGGGAAACCUCACCAGGCCCAGACACCGGAAGGAUUGACAGAUUGAGAGCUCUUUCUUGAUUCGGUGGGUGGUGGUGCAUGGCCGUUCUUAGUUGGUGGAGCGAUUUGUCUGGUUAAUUCCGAUAACGAACGAGACUCUAGCCUGCUAACUAGGCGUAUUUCGACAUCCCAAAGGCCCGCCGGUUCGAGGCUUCGGUCUCUUGCCGCGCGCGGUUUUUACUGUCGGCGUACAAACAAUUCUUCUUAGAGGGACAGGCGGCAUUUAGCCGCACGAGAUUGAGCAAUAACAGGUCUGUGAUGCCCUUAGAUGUUCUGGGCCG